UUUACUAAUCAAUGCAAUGACUAAUCUUUGAUUUUAAAAACAUACUGCAAAAUAGGAAAUUAAAUUACGAAAUGGCUAAAAGUCCCAACAGUCAAAUUAAUAGUGCAUAUUAAGAUCAACUAACCAUUGGCCUACAAUUAUUAGCUUCAUUUCGAAAAGAAAAAUAAAUGCUAAACCAAACUGAUAUCGACUAUAUGAGAAGCUAUUGCUAGAUGAUCAACAGUUUGCACAACUCAAUAGGCCGAGUGAGUACACAUAGAGAUAUGCUAGAACUCUGCAUUAUAAUAUCAACACAAGCUAAGCCAAACUAAAUUGCUACACACAUGGAUUACAUCUAAUUAAUCUAACAUUAUACUACUUAACAAUCCAGUCCAGAAUUAUUACAGAGUUUAAUCACAAUAAACAAGCAAAUGUGGCAGGGCCAUUAAAAUCACAAAGCCACAGUGCCAAAUUAUCCUUAAUUUCAUUUCAUAUCUCAACAGAUGAAGCUACAUCAAUGGAGUCUCGAGAUGUGUACCUGAAUGUCGAAAUACAAGAAGAAUAAGAAGAAGAUCAGCUAUAAUAGCAGAUUCCAGCAGAAUAAUUUGCUAACAGCAGGAAACACAGCAAGUUCAACCCAGAAACGAGUUCAACAAUCGAAGGAUAAUUCCAAACCAAACAGAAGCCAACAAAACAGUCGCAAUUAGCUUGAACAAAACCCAAGUGACUUCGAAUUCAAACCCAGAAAUACCUCUGAAACCUCAUCAACUAAAACAAACCAAAAUAGCUUGAAUACAUUCAAAAAACAGCUUGAAAUUGAACUCAAGAUCAGCUAUAAUAGCAGAUUCCAGCGGAAUAAUUUGCUAACAGCAGGAAACACAGCAAGUUCAACCCAGAAACGAGUUCAACAAUCGAAGGAUAAUUCCAAACCAAACAGAAGCCAACAAAACAGUCGCAAUUAGCUUGAACAAAACCCAAGUGACUUCGAAUUCAAACCCAGAAAUACCUCUGAAACCUCAUCAACUAAAACAAACCAAAAUAGCUUGAAUACAUUCAAAAAACAGCUUGAAAUUGAACUCAAGGUCACCAAGAACUCAGAUUUUUAACUGACAGUGCAGAAAUUCCAAUGUAAUAGUGUAUUUUUGUAGUUUUUUUGUAUUGUUUCUAUUUUUUUUGGUUUCUGAAGAUUUGGAGUUUUGAAAUUCAAAUUUCAGCUGGGAAGACUUAGAGAAUACUCUAGAGGAAUUUUCAGAUCUGUGUGCUUGAAGGGAGUUUUGGGGAGGGAAUUUUGGGCUCCCAAAACUUGUUCAUUAAGGCAUUGGUGUUGCCCUUUUAUAGGCAAAGAUGAGGGCAACCCUCAAUUUUCUGUUUACAAAUCAGUCCCUUAUUUAUUUUCACAAUAGUCCUCUACUUAAUGACCUGCUUCUCAAGUAAGUGCACCUAUUUUCUGAAUUUAGAGUAAAAGUUAUAUUCUAGAAGGUUCUAGUGAAUUCCAAUCAGUUUUAAAAGAUUCCCUUAUCCCUGAAUUGCCCCACUUACUCCUACUUUAUUCAAAGAUUUACUAAACUAAUCCAAAUGAAUUCAGCCUCCUUUUACCCAAGUUAAGCCUAUCCACUGUAGCCAACUUCAUCAGAUUAACAACUAAGUGAACUGAGCAUUACCGAAUGUCCAAACUAACUAAACCGAAUGAUCUACAACCAAUUGAUAACAACCAAAAGGGGUACUAAGAUCAGAUUUAAGUUUAAAUAAAUUCAAACAAGAUUGACUAAAGCAGAACAAACAAGAAAAAUAAUCUAGUAUUCAAACUAUUAGAUUCCCAAAUCUACAAACGACUCUAACCUACGAAUUGC
rnacentral:lncRNA from 1 species